rnacentral:rRNA from 1 species
AUUAACGCUGGCGGCGUGCAUAACCCCUGCAAGUCGCACGCUGAAACUCAUUAGAUUUCUUCGGAAUGAAAAUGAAUGGAUUAGUGGCGAACGGGUGAGUAACGCGUGAGUAACCUGCCUUACACAAGGGGAUAGCCUCUGGAAACGGAGAAUAAUACCCUAUGAAACCAGACAAUCGCAUGAUAAUCUGGUCAAAAUGUUUAGUGGUGUAAGAUGGACUUGCGUCUGAUUAGCUAGUUGGUGAGAUAAAAGCUCACCAAGGCAACGAUCAGUAGCCGGCUUGAGAGAGUGUACGGCCACAUUGGGACUGAGACACGGCCCAGACUCCUACGGGAGGCAGCAGUGGGGAAUUUUGCACAAUGGGGGAAACCCUGAUGCAGCGACGCCGCGUGAUUUAGAAGGCCUUCGGGUUGUAAAAAUCUUUUGUAUAGGAAGAAAAUGACAGUACUAUACGAAUAAGGUCCGGCUAAUUACGUG